AUUGAACGCUGGCGGCAUGCCUUACACAUGCAAGUCGAACGGCAGCGGACCUUCGGGUGCCGGCGAGUGGCGAACGGGUGAGUAAUAUAUCGGAACGUACCUUUCAGUGGGGGAUAACGUAGCGAAAGUUACGCUAAUACCGCAUAUUCUGUGAGCAGGAAAGCAGGGGAUCGCAAGACCUUGCGCUGAUUGAGCGGCCGAUAUCAGAUUAGCUAGUUGGUGAGGUAAAGGCUCACCAAGGCGACGAUCUGUAGCGGGUCUGAGAGGAUGAUCCGCCACACUGGAACUGAGACACGGUCCAGACUCCUACGGGAGGCAGCAGUGGGGAAUUUUGGACAAUGGGCGCAAGCCUGAUCCAGCCAUGCCGCGUGAGUGAAGAAGGCCUUGGUGUAAG
rnacentral:rRNA from 1 species